rnacentral:sRNA from 1 species
GUUUAGCCCUGAUUGAAACGACAUCCUUUUUUCUAUUUCAGAAAAAAGAUAUAGUGGAAAGCAGGAAAUAGC